GGAGGAUUCGCCUAGUGGCCUAGGGCGCACGCUUGGAAAGCGUGUUGGGGGCAACCCCUCACGAGUUCGAAUCUCGUAUCCUCCGCCU
rnacentral:tRNA from 5 species